UUAAGCGACUAAGCGUACACGGUGGAUGCCCUGGCAGUCAGAGGCGAUGAAGGACGUGCUAAUCUGCGAUAAGCGUCGGUAAGGUGAUAUGAACCGUUAUAACCGGCGAUUUCCGAAUGGGGAAACCCAGUGUGUUUCGACACACUAUCAUUAACUGAAUCCAUAGGUUAAUGAGGCGAACCGGGGGAACUGAAACAUCUAAGUACCCCGAGGAAAAGAAAUCAACCGAGAUUCCCCCAGUAGCGGCGAGCGAACGGGGAGCAGCCCAGAGCCUGAAUCAGUGUGUGUGUUAGUGGAAGCGUCUGGAAAGGCGCGCGAUACAGGGUGACAGCCCCGUACACAAAAAUGCACAUGCUGUGAGCUCGAUGAGUAGGGCGGGACACGUGGUAUCCUGUCUGAAUAUGGGGGGACCAUCCUCCAAGGCUAAAUACUCCUGACUGACCGAUAGUGAACCAGUACCGUGAGGGAAAGGCGAAAAGAACCCCGGCGAGGGGAGUGAAAAAGAACCUGAAACCGUGUACGUACAAGCAGUGGGAGCACGCUUAGGCGUGUGACUGCGUACCUUUUGUAUAAUGGGUCAGCGACUUAUAUUCUGUAGCAAGGUUAACCGAAUAGGGGAGCCGAAGGGAAACCGAGUCUUAACUGGGCGUUAAGUUGCAGGGUAUAGACCCGAAACCCGGUGAUCUAGCCAUGGGCAGGUUGAAGGUUGGGUAACACUAACUGGAGGACCGAACCGACUAAUGUUGAAAAAUUAGCGGAUGACUUGUGGCUGGGGGUGAAAGGCCAAUCAAACCGGGAGAUAGCUGGUUCUCCCCGAAAGCUAUUUAGGUAGCGCCUCGUGAAUUCAUCUCCGGGGGUAGAGCACUGUUUCGGCAAGGGGGUCAUCCCGACUUACCAACCCGAUGCAAACUGCGAAUACCGGAGAAUGUUAUCACGGGAGACACACGGCGGGUGCUAACGUCCGUCGUGAAGAGGGAAACAACCCAGACCGCCAGCUAAGGUCCCAAAGUCAUGGUUAAGUGGGAAACGAUGUGGGAAGGCCCAGACAGCCAGGAUGUUGGCUUAGAAGCAGCCAUCAUUUAAAGAAAGCGUAAUAGCUCACUGGUCGAGUCGGCCUGCGCGGAAGAUGUAACGGGGCUAAACCAUGCACCGAAGCUGCGGCAGCGACGCUUAUGCGUUGUUGGGUAGGGGAGCGUUCUGUAAGCCUGUGAAGGUGUGCUGUGAGGCAUGCUGGAGGUAUCAGAAGUGCGAAUGCUGACAUAAGUAACGAUAAAGCGGGUGAAAAGCCCGCUCGCCGGAAGACCAAGGGUUCCUGUCCAACGUUAAUCGGGGCAGGGUGAGUCGACCCCUAAGGCGAGGCCGAAAGGCGUAGUCGAUGGGAAACAGGUUAAUAUUCCUGUACUUGGUGUUACUGCGAAGGGGGGACGGAGAAGGCUAUGUUGGCCGGGCGACGGUUGUCCCGGUUUAAGCGUGUAGGCUGGUUUUCCAGGCAAAUCCGGAAAAUCAAGGCUGAGGCGUGAUGACGAGGCACUACGGUGCUGAAGCAACAAAUGCCCUGCUUCCAGGAAAAGCCUCUAAGCAUCAGGUAACAUCAAAUCGUACCCCAAACCGACACAGGUGGUCAGGUAGAGAAUACCAAGGCGCUUGAGAGAACUCGGGUGAAGGAACUAGGCAAAAUGGUGCCGUAACUUCGGGAGAAGGCACGCUGAUAUGUAGGUGAAGUCCCUCGCGGAUGGAGCUGAAAUCAGUCGAAGAUACCAGCUGGCUGCAACUGUUUAUUAAAAACACAGCACUGUGCAAACACGAAAGUGGACGUAUACGGUGUGACGCCUGCCCGGUGCCGGAAGGUUAAUUGAUGGGGUUAGCGCAAGCGAAGCUCUUGAUCGAAGCCCCGGUAAACGGCGGCCGUAACUAUAACGGUCCUAAGGUAGCGAAAUUCCUUGUCGGGUAAGUUCCGACCUGCACGAAUGGCGUAAUGAUGGCCAGGCUGUCUCCACCCGAGACUCAGUGAAAUUGAACUCGCUGUGAAGAUGCAGUGUACCCGCGGCAAGACGGAAAGACCCCGUGAACCUUUACUAUAGCUUGACACUGAACAUUGAGCCUUGAUGUGUAGGAUAGGUGGGAGGCUUAGAAGUGUGGACGCCAGUCUGCAUGGAGCCGACCUUGAAAUACCACCCUUUAAUGUUUGAUGUUCUAACGUUGACCCGUAAUCCGGGUUGCGGACAGUGUCUGGUGGGUAGUUUGACUGGGGCGGUCUCCUCCUAAAGAGUAACGGAGGAGCACGAAGGUUGGCUAAUCCUGGUCGGACAUCAGGAGGUUAGUGCAAUGGCAUAAGCCAGCUUGACUGCGAGCGUGACGGCGCGAGCAGGUGCGAAAGCAGGUCAUAGUGAUCCGGUGGUUCUGAAUGGAAGGGCCAUCGCUCAACGGAUAAAAGGUACUCCGGGGAUAACAGGCUGAUACCGCCCAAGAGUUCAUAUCGACGGCGGUGUUUGGCACCUCGAUGUCGGCUCAUCACAUCCUGGGGCUGAAGUAGGUCCCAAGGGUAUGGCUGUUCGCCAUUUAAAGUGGUACGCGAGCUGGGUUUAGAACGUCGUGAGACAGUUCGGUCCCUAUCUGCCGUGGGCGCUGGAGAACUGAGGGGGGCUGCUCCUAGUACGAGAGGACCGGAGUGGACGCAUCACUGGUGUUCGGGUUGUCAUGCCAAUGGCACUGCCCGGUAGCUAAAUGCGGAAGAGAUAAGUGCUGAAAGCAUCUAAGCACGAAACUUGCCCCGAGAUGAGUUCUCCCUGACUCCUUGAGAGUCCUGAAGGAACGUUGAAGACGACGACGUUGAUAGGCCGGGUGUGUAAGCGCAGCGAUGCGUUGAGCUAACCGGUACUAAUGAACCGUGAGGCUUAACCUU
rnacentral:rRNA from 1 species